rnacentral:rRNA from 1 species
AACGCGAAGAACCUUACCAGGUCUUGACAUCCCUCUGACGUCACUAGAGAUAGUGAGUUCCUUCGGGACAGAGGAGACAGGUGGUGCAUGGUUGUCGUCAGCUCGUGUCGUGAGAUGUUGGGUUCAGUCCCGCAACGAGCGCAACCCUUAUUUUUAGUUGCCAGCAUUAAGUUGGGCACUCUAGAAAGACAGCCGGUGAAAGCCGGAGGAAGGUGGGGAUGAGGUCAAAUCAUCAUGCCCCUUAUGACCUGGGCUACACACGUGCUACAAUGGCUGAAACAAAGGGAAGCGAAUCCGCGAGGAGGAGCAAAUCCCAAAAAACCAGUCACAGUUCAGAUCGUAGGCUGCAACUCGCCUACGUGAAGUCGGAAUCGCUAGUAAUCGCAGAUCAGCAUGCUGCGGUGAAUACGUUCCCGGGCCUUGUACACACCGUGUCGA